ACUGUCACUCCUACGGGGAGGCAGCAGUGGGGAAUAUUGCACAAUGGGCGCAAGCCUGAUGCAGCCAUGCCGCGUGUGUGAAGAAGGCCUUCGGGUGUAAAGCACUUUCAGUCGUGAGGAAGCGGGUACGUUAAUAGCGUAUUCGUUUGACGUUAGCGACAGAAGAAAGCACCGGCUAACUCCGUGCCAGCAGCCGCGGUAAUACGGAGGGUGCGAGCGUUAAUCGGAAUUACUGGGCGUAAAGCGCAUGCAGGUGGUUUGUUAAGUCAGAUGUGAAAGCCCGGGGCUCAACCUCGGAAUAGCAUUUGAAACUGGCAGACUAGAGUACUGUAGAGGGGGGUAGGAAUUUCAGGUGUAGCGGUGAAAUGCGUAGAGAUCUGAAGGAAUACCGGUGGCGAAGGCGGCCCCCUCGGACAGAUACUGACACUCAGAUGCGAAAGCGUGGGGAGCAAACAGGAUUAGAUACCCUGGUAG
rnacentral:rRNA from 1 species